UUGGAGGGCAAGUCUGGUGCCAGCAGCCGCGGUAAUUCCAGCUCCAAUAGCGUAUAUUAAAGUUGUUGCAGUUAAAAAGCUCGUAGUUGAAUUUUAGGCCUGACCGGGCGGUCCGUCUCUGACGAGUACUGUCCUGUUGUCGGGUCUAUCCUUCUGGUGAGCCGGUAUGUCCUUUAUUGGGUGUGUCGGGGAACCAGGACCAUUACCUUGAAAAAAUUAGAGUGUUUAAAGCGGGCUUUUGCUUGAAUAGAUUAGCAUGGAAUAAUAGAAUAGGACGUUGGUUCUAUUUUGUUGGUCUAGGACCACCGUAAUGAUUAAUAGGGAUAGUUGGGGGCAUUAGUAUUCAAUUGUCAGAGGUGAAAUUCUUGGAUUUAUUGAAGACUAACUACUGCGAAAGCAUUUGCCAAGGAUGUUUUCAUUAAUCAAGAACGAAAGUUAGGGGAUCGAAGACGAUCAGAUACCGUCGUAGUCUUAACCAUAAACUAUGCCGACUAGGAAUCGGGCGACGUUAUUUUAAUGACUCGCUCGGCGCCUUACGGGAAAC
rnacentral:rRNA from 1 species